rnacentral:rRNA from 1 species
UACAGAGGUCCCAAGCGUUGUUCGGAUUCACUGGGCGUAAAGGGUGCGUAGGCGGUCGGGUAAGUCUGAUGUGAAAUCUCACAGCUUAACUGUGAAACUGCAUUGGAUACUAUCCGGCUAGAGGAAUGGAGGGGAGACUGGAAUUCUCGGUGUAGCAGUGAAAUGCGUAGAUAUCGAGAGGAACACCAGUGGCGAAGGCGAGUCCCUGGACAGGUCCUGACGCUGAGGCACGAAAGCUAGGGGAGCAAACAGG